UAGGGAAUCUUCCACAAUGGACGGAAGUCUGAUGGAGCAAUGCCGCGUGAGCGAAGAAGGUUUUCGGAUCGUAAAGCUCUGUUGUGAGGGAAGAACAAGUACGGGAGUAACUGCCCGUACCUUGACGGUACCUCAUUAGAAAGCCACGGCUAACUACGUGCCAGCAGCCGCGGUAAUACGUAGGUGGCAAGCGUUGUCCGGAAUUAUUGGGCGUAAAGCGCGCGCAGGCGGCCUUUUAAGUCUGAUGUGAAAGCCCUCGGCUCAACCGGGGAAGUCAUUGGAAACUGAGAGGCUUGAGUACAGAAGAGGAAAGCGGAAUUCCACGUGUAGCGGUGAAAUGCGUAGAGAUGUGGAGGAACACCAGUGGCGAAGGCGGCUUUCUGGUCUGUAACUGACGCUGAGGCGCGAAAGCGUGGGGAGCAAACAGGAUUAGAUACCCUGGUAGUCCACGCCGUAAACGAUGAGUGCUAAGUGUUAGGGGGUUUCCGCCCGUUAGUGCUGCAGAC
rnacentral:rRNA from 1 species